rnacentral:rRNA from 1 species
GGUUGCGGCCAUGUCACAUUGACAGCACGCCAUAUCGUCCGAUCUGGCAAGUUUGGUAACGUCGGGCGUGGUUAGUAUUUGGGUCGGAGACGCCUCGAGAGUGGCAAGUGUCCGAGGAUU